rnacentral:rRNA from 1 species
UGAGUAGCGAUAAAGAGUGUGAAAAGCACUCUCGCCGAAAGCCCAAGGUUUCCUGCGCAACGUUCAUCGGCGCAGGGUGAGUCGGCCCCUAAGGCGAGGCAGAAAUGCGUAGUCGAUGGGAAACAGGUUAAUAUUCCUGUACCUCAAUUUAAUGCGAUGUGGGGACGGAGAAGGUUAAGUCAGCCGGGUGUUGGAUGUCCCGGUUCAAGCGUGUAGACAGAUUCUUUAGGCAAAUCCGGAGAGUCAAUGUCAAGGCGUGAUAACGAGAGAGCUUGCUCUUGAAGUGACUGAUACCAUGCUUCCAAGAAAAGCCACUAAGCUUCAGUUAAGUUGAGACCGUACCGCAAACCGACACAGGUGGGCAGGAUGAGAAUUCUAAGGCGCUUGAGAGAACCCAGGAGAAGGAACUCGGCAAACUAGCACCGUAACUUCGGGAGAAGGUGCGCCCCGGUAGGUUGUAGCAAUUUACUUGCGAAGGCCGAUGGGGUUGCAGUGAAAAGGUGGCUGCGACUGUUUAAUAAAAACACAGCACUGUGCAAACACGAAAGUGGACGUAUACGGUGUGACGCCUGCCCGGUGCCGGAAGGUUAAAUGAUGGGGUGCAAGCUCUUGAUUGAAGCCCCGGUAAACGGCGGCCGUAACUAUAACGGUCCUAAGGUAGCGAAAUUCCUUGUCGGGUAAGUUCCGACCCGCACGAAUGGCGUAACGAUGGCCACACUGUCUCCUCUUGGGACUCAGCGAAGUUGAAAUGUUUGUGAAGAUGCAAUCUACCCGCGGCUAGACGGAAAGACCCCAUGAACCUUUACUGUAGCUUUACAUUGGACUUUGACAAGAUCUGUGUAGGAUAGGUGGGAGACGUUGAAGCGCGGUCGCUAGAUCGUGUGGAGUCAACCUUGAAAUACCACCCUGAUGUUGUUGAGGUUCUAACCUAGACCCCGAAACGGGGUUGGGGACCGUGUAUGGUGGGCAGUUUGACUGGGGCGGUCUCCUCCCAAAGAGUAACGGAGGAGUGCGAAGGUAACCUAGGUACGGUCGGAAAUCGUACUGAUAGUGCAAUGGCAUAAGGUUGCUUGACUGCGAGACGGACAGGUCGAGCAGGUGCGAAAGCAGGUCAUAGUGAUCCGGUGGUUCUGUAUGGAAGGGCCAUCGCUCAACGGAUAAAAGGUACUCUGGGGAUAACAGGCUGAUUCCUCCCAAGAGUUCAUAUCGACGGGGGAGUUUGGCACCUCGAUGUCGGCUCAUCACAUCCUGGGGCUGUAGCCGGUCCCAAGGGUAUGGCUGUUCGCCAUUUAAAGUGGUACGUGAGCUGGGUUUAAAACGUCGUGAGACAGUUUGGUCCCUAUCUGCCGUGGGCGUUGGAAGUUUGAGGGGGGCUGCUCCUAGUACGAGAGGACCGGAGUGGACAGAUCUCUGGUGGACCGGUUGUCAUGCCAAUGGCAUAGCCGGGUAGCUAAAUCUGGAAGAGAUAAGCGCUGAAAGCAUCUAAGCGCGAAACUCGCCUCGAGAUGAUACUUCCCUGUGCUUUAAGCACACUAAAGAGUCGUUCAAGACCAGGACGUUGAUAGGUCGGGUGUGGAAGCGUAGUAAUACGUUAAGCUAACUGAUACUAAUUGCUCGUGAGGCUUGAUC